AGAUUGAACGCUGGCGGCAGGCCUAACACAUGCAAGUCGAGCGGCAGCACGGGUACUUGUACCUGGUGGCGAGCGGCGGACGGGUGAGUAAUGCCUAGGAAUCUGCCUGGUAGUGGGGGAUAACGCUCGGAAACGGACGCUAAUACCGCAUACGUCCUACGGGAGAAAGCAGGGGACCUUCGGGCCUUGCGCUAUCAGAUGAGCCUAGGUCGGAUUAGCUAGGUUGGUGGGUAAUGGCUCACCAAGGCGACGAUCCGUAACUGGUCUGAGAGGAUGAUCAGUCACACUGGAACUGAGACACGGUCCAGACCUCCGUACGGGAGCAGCGAGUGGGGAAUAGUUGGACAAGUGGGACGAAAGCCUGAUCCGAGCCAGUCGCCGCGUUGUGUAGGAAGUAAGGUCUUCGGUAUUAGUAAAGCUAACGUUUAAGGUGG
rnacentral:rRNA from 1 species